AAGCAGGCUGGCCGACGGGGCCGGAGCACAUCCUUGAAGGAGCGGCAGGCAGCACGGCCCCAGAAUGAGCGGGCCAACAGCCUGGACAACGAGCGCUGCCCGGACGCCCGGAGCCAGCUACAGGUGCAGGUGCAGAUCCCCAGGAAGACUGUGUAUGACCAGCUCAACCACAUCCUCAUCUCCGAUGACCAGCUUCCCGAAAACAUCAUCCUCGUCAACACCUCGGACUGGCAGGGGCAGUUCCUCUCCGACGUCCUGCAGAGGCACACGCUCCCCGUGGUGUGCACGUGCUCUCCUGCGGAUGUCCAGGCGGCCUUCAGCACCAUCGUCUCACGGAUACAGAGAUACUGCAACUGCAAUUCCCAGCCCCCGACCCCCGUGAAGAUCGCCGUGGCGGGAGCGCAGCAUUACCUCAGUGCCAUCCUGCGGCUCUUUGUGGAGCAGCUGUCCCACAAGACACCCGACUGGCUCGGCUACAUGCGCUUCCUGGUCAUCCCGCUGGGCUCCCACCCCGUGGCCAGGUACCUAGGCUCCGUGGACUACCGCUACAACAACUUCUUCCAGGACCUGGCCUGGAGAGACCUGUUCAACAAGCUGGAGGCCCAGAGUGCGGUACAGGACACGCCAGACAUUGUGUCACGCAUCACGCAGUACAUCGCAGGGGCCAACUGUGCCCACCAGCUCCCCAUCGCAGAGGCCAUGCUGACCUACAAGCAGAAGAGCCCUGACGAAGAGUCCUCCCAAAAGUUCAUUCCCUUUGUCGGGGUUGUGAAGGUUGGAAUUGUGGAGCCAUCCUCGGCCACAUCAGGUAACCCCAUCCCACCCUGAGGCCUUGUGAGUGGCCCAUGGGUGGGCUGCAGGAGCACGGUCACUCUGGUCCUGCAGACCAGAUCAACCCUUCAGGGCCUGAGAGCCGCCACGUCCCAGUCUUGCUGUGGUGCUUCUGUUCUGUGGGGGGUUCAUCCUCCAGGGACUGCUGUCACAAAGCCCCACAUCAAGGCUGGCAGGGUUGUCUUCCAAAAACCGAGGAGAAUCCGAGACCCUCCCGUCUCUCACAGGCCACUGGGGACUCCCGCCCUGCCCACCCCCAGGGGCUGCCUGGCCUUCUGGCCACAUCCUGGUCCGGAGGGCCUGGUGGCACCCGGGCAGAGCAGCAGGUG
rnacentral:sRNA from 1 species